rnacentral:lncRNA from 1 species
AAAGAAAGAAAGAAAGAAAGAAAGAAAGAAAGAAAGAAAGAAAGAAAGAAAGAAAGAAAGAAAGGUGUUUGGAGGGUUUCCUCCAUACUUCACCAUGGCCCUCAGAGGGAAGCCGAGUACCUGGACCCCUGGAGGAAUGCCUCCAGCCGGCACAGUGACACUGUGGGUGUCUUUACAGACAUUCUGCUUGCAAUAGUUUGAAACUGCAGUCUCCAGAGAGACCUUAGUCCUCUGCUGGCCUCCAACAUGAGUGGCUGAACUGUGCAUAUGCCGUCUCUUUUAAUUCUAGCCUCCAAGUAAGUGUGAAGGAGUAUGUCGUUUUCGUUUCGACUGUGGAGGUCAGAGGACAGCUUUCCGGAAUCCUUUCUCAUGUUCUACCCUGACUCAGGUUCGGAUUCAGGACACCAGGUUUGAGCAGCAGUUAUCACUACCUGAUGAGUCCCUCAUCUUUCACUUUUGCAUCUUAUUUCCACGUGGGCAGUCAACACUUAGUGAAGAUCUGUUUCCCUUCUAUCUUCCCAGAAUGCCCUUCCCCAGACCCGGAUCCUCUAGAAUAGUCACAGAGCUGAGUUGGGUUUUAACCCCAUACAACAUGAGCGCUCCUCUCUCCUCGCUGAGCUCUGAGUACCAGCUGAACUAGGUACUCCGACGCAACGCAUGCGCAGGGAAGUGCCACGCUGUUAUUUCUCUCACAUCCACGAGGGGUCGCACAACGCCUUCCAGAGUUCGCCCCAAGAACCUGCGCCUUAGUAAAUCCCUUCCCUCCGGAACCUCCCAUCUCUCCCAACACCACCUUCGGGUUUAAAGUUCCAGAGCUGUAUUCCUGGUUGUCCCAGAAACCUAUCCGUGCAGCCGCUUGGCGUGAUUUAACUGAGCUAUGGGAAGCAUGCAGUCUGACUCCUUCAUUCAGUACCCUAUACUGUGCUUUCCUCGUCAGCAAAAUGAUAAUCCCCACUGCGCUGAGCGCUAUCCAAGAGAGUGGGGAGCCUCAUCUCAUUUUGAGCAUGGUGUCCAGCACAUUCCAGGAGCCCGGUAUACCCCAGGGGCAGCAAGGUUUCCUGAGUGAGAUCUCUAUAAUGGAGGCAGACUUCAGGCCCUCAAGUCAGACGGAUACAUCGUUGCCAAUGUCUACCGUUGCUGGGUACAUCCAAGGAGUCUAUGGUCCAUCCAGACCUCAGACUGAUUGACCCUCAGCGUCUUCUGACCCCAGAACCUUGUCUCAGCCUCUUGAGGAGGAAAUGGAGGACUGGGCUAUCUCGGUCCCUCUCUUUCCAGACAAACCAUAUAGUCCACCAUGUCCAGUUUAUGUGGAGAUACGUGUAGGGUGUUCUGGGAAUGUUGGUAUCUCUGUCCCCUAACUUCUGUGGCACCCAGAUGCUGAAGCUGGGGUGAGGCAGGAGAAUGCCUCCCAUGGUUGGGGUUUUGCUGAGGCAAGGCUCUGAACUCCAAUGUUCAGCAGUCAAGCUCCCACAGCACAGCCUUGAUAAACUAAGGCAUUAUGAUACAUCACAGGCUAGGAUGAUACACCAAGAAAGAAGCCUGGCUGACAAUUCCAACACUAGCCUGUCACACCUUUUACCCUGUUUUUUGGUACUCUGGUACAGGCUGACUCAUCUUCUCCAGGACCGCAGGGUUUGUUUGUGCUCCUGGUAACUUGAAGGGUGGAGACAGGGCUCUUGGAUGUGGUUUCUAAGAGGUGAGGUGGGGUAGAAGGUAGACAAAGACGAGCUACUGGUUGUACACAGCAGAAAACCAGGCUGGCUAAUUCUGCCCAGUGAGAAUUUUCUGGAAGGGUGACUGAGCAGUCCACAGAAUCACCAGGUAAACUAAGAAGACCCAUCUCUUAAAUUGUCCAGGAACCCAUAAGACUGCAGUAGAACCACAGGAAAGGACUCUAGAGGACCGUCCUGCUGCCCCCAGGGUCAAGUUGCCCCUGGAUGCUGUUGCUGGGGACAUGAUGAAUGGCAUCUCUGAUGGCCCUGGCUUCUCAGGGGGCCCAGGUUCAGUGCCCACGAACUCUGUAGGGAUGUUGUGAGGGAUCUUUGGCCUGUAGGGGGUUCCCAUUCUGGAUUAGCCCCACCUCCACCAUGGUGUGUAGCUGCUAAGCAACCAAAACCAACAAACACCAACCUCUGUAAUUUCCCUGAAUUUGCCAUUGCCAAGAGGCAGUCUCCAACCUGCCUCCCGUAGGCAGCUGGCUACUCAGAGUACCGCUUGCAGAUGUGGGUCAGAGACCUCACGAAGCUCGGUGAAGCCGCCCAGACAAGUUGAGUGCUUCUAGAGAAUUCCUACGCCAGCCUUCUCUCCAUGGCUAGGGCCAUUGAACUCUGUCUCAGGCAUGGUUUAAAUCUUUAUGUAGAUUACAUUGGGUCUUAUAUCUGUUUUGUUUUGUUUGUUUGUUUAUAUGUGUGUACGUGUGCGCGUGCACACAAAUGCCAAUGCUGACACACAUGUACAGCCCAGAGGAAUACACCAGUGGCUUGUUUGAUUGCUCUCUUCUUAUUUCUGGGAAUCUACCUGUCCCCACCAUUAGAGCACAGCCAUGCCCAGCCGGGGGGCCUGGGGAUCCAGGCUCAGGUCCUUGUACUCUCAUCUCUCUGGCCCCUGAGAAUUAAUUUUAAAGUUUGACAGCAAUGACUAGGAUUAGACAGGUCCGGCUCAUGAAACUCUACCCCCAGCCCACCAAUUCUCUUCCCCAGGGCUCCGAAGAUUUCUUCUGUAGUGGACCAAGAAGUCAUGUCCUGAAGCUCUGUGAGCCGGGCAACCAUCACGACGCGAAUGCAACCCAAGGCCAGCGAUAAGCUCAACCCACUGCAGGAGUCUGCAAAUGAAUAAAAAUCAGACGUGGUGGGAGAAUCCUGUAAGGGUGGCACUCAAGAGAUGGAGGCUGCCAGGCCUUUAGGUGGAUCUCUGUGAGUUCGAAGUCAGCCUGGUCUACAGAGCGAGUUCCAGGACAGCCAGGGCUACACAGAGGAACCCUGUCUCAAAAAACAAACAAACAAACAAACAAACAAACAAACUCAGCCAACCAACCAACCAAAACAAAACAAAACACAAACACAAAAGAGAUGGAGGGAAGAGGAUUAGAAGUUUAUACGCUUAGCUGUAUAGCACGACCUUGUUUUUUUUCUCUCUCUCUCUCUCUCUCUCUCUAGCUCAUGCUGGGUUAGUACUCUGUAGCCCAAGGUGGCCUUGAACAUGUGACCAUCUUCCUCUUUUACCUUCCUGAGAGAUGGGACCCAUGAACCUUCAUGGCUGACUUCCUCUCUCUCUCUCUCUCUCUCUCCCUCCCUCCCUCCCUCUCUCUCUCUCUUUCUUCUUUUAAAAUGUGCAUCAGUGUUUUUCCUGCUUGUAUGUCUCUAAGUGAAGGUGUCAGAUCUUGGAGUUAUAGACAAGACAGUGGUGAGUUGCCAUGUGGUUGCUGGGAAUUGAACCUGGGUCCUCUGGAAGAGCAGUCAGUGCUCUCAACCACUGAGCCAUCUCUCCAGCCUCUUUCUUUUCUUACAACAGGGUCUAACAUACU